rnacentral:ncRNA from 1 species
GGUCUUCGGGGCGGGGUGAAAUUCCCUACCGGCGGUCAGAGUCCGCGAACCCGGGAACGUUAUUUCCCGGGCCGAUCCGGUGGAAUUCCGGAGCCGACAGUCAAAGUCUGGAUGAAAGAAGACG